rnacentral:rRNA from 1 species
AUUGAACGCUGGCGGCAGGCCUAACACAUGCAAGUCGAGCGGUAGAGAGGUGCUUGCAUCUCUUGAGAGCGGCGGACGGGUGAGUAAUGCCUAGGAAUCUGCCUAGUGGUGGGGGAUAACGUUCGGAAACGGACGCUAAUACCGCAUACGUCCUACGGGAGAAAGCGGGGGAUCUUCGGACCUCGCGCCAUUAGAUGAGCCUAGGUCGGAUUAGCUAGUUGGUGAGGUAAUGGCUCACCAAGGCGACGAUCCGUAACUGGUCUGAGAGGAUGAUCAGUCACACUGGGACUGAGACACGGCCCAGACUCCUACGGGAGGCAGCAGUGGGGAAUUUUGGACAAUGGGCGCAAGCCUGAUCCAGCAAUGCGCGUGCAGGAUGAAGGCC